GAGUAUAAUUUAAAGUAGGGCCUGCCCACUGAUUUUUUUGAAGGGCCGCAGUAUUUUGACUGUGCAAAGGUAGCAUAAUCAUUAGUUUUUUAAUUGAAAGCUUGUAUGAAUGGUUUGAUGAAAAAAUGACUUUCUUUAAUUAAAUGUAAAAGAAUUUUAUUUUUAAGUUAAAAAGCUUAAAUAUUUAUAAUAGACGAGAAGACCCUAUAGAGUUUAAUUAUUUAAAUUAUAAAAAUUUUUAGAAUUAUAUAUUUUUAUUUAAACAAUAAUUUGAUUGGGGUGAUUGAAAAAUUGAAGAAACUUUUUUUUAUUUUUAUCAUUAAUUUAUGAAUAUGAUCCA
rnacentral:rRNA from 1 species